UACGUAGGGCGCAAGCGUUGUCCAGAAUUAUUGGGCGUAAAGAGCUUGUAGGCGGUUUGUCGCGUCUGCUGUGAAAAUCCGGGGCUCAACCCCGGACUUGCAGUGGGUACGGGCAGACUAGAGUGUGGUAGGGGAGACUGGAAUUCCUGGUGUAGCGGUGAAAUGCGCAGAUAUCAGGAGGAACACCGGUGGCGAAGGCGGAUCUCUGGGCCGUAACUGACGCUGAGGAGCGAAAGCAUGGGGAGCAAACAGG
rnacentral:rRNA from 1 species